UCUGCACAUGUUAGCAGACUGGCCGUCCCAACCCUCAUGUGCCUUACCAAUUACUUCCUAAAUGUGCGGUGUCUUUCCCGACUUGCGCAGUGCUCGCGUCUGCUUCCUGCCCACAUGCCAACGCGUUCCACAUAUGUAUUCAUUCCCCCUUCCUCCUCCAAGGGUUUGGAAUUGUAAAUGACAAGACUGAUGUGGAAAUCCUCAGAGCCAGGCGUUGCAACACACACACACACACACACACACACACACACACACACACACACACACACACACACACACACACACACACACACACACACACACACACACACACACAUGGUGUCAUUACAGGAAAGCAUGCUCGUAAACAACCAUAUCCCUUCAUUCUACCAUGCUCAUGCUGACAUGUGUGUUUUAAGAGAACCAACUGCAGACUAAUAGGGAUCCUUGAAGAAGCUUCAACUGUCACAGUAAACACACGCCCGUGCCACCACAGGUGUGGCUCCAAGCAUUAUCGCCACGCAGACGAUUCCACACGUGCAUACUGAUCUCAGAGUUAGAUGGUAAAAGUAAAAUAUCCACAAGCCUGCUCUCUUCAUCUUCAUUCCUCCCUUCCAGCGAAAUAGAAAGGACUGUGAUAUAAAUGCCACAACUGACAAAAAGAUGCCACUCUAUGUAAUUAACGCAUUAAUCUAUAGAGAAAUAAAAACUUACGCCUUUUUCUUCUUGCAAAACAGAGUCAGUGUCAUGUGCAGGCACACGCGGGUGAGUAUCGUUCCUUGUAAUCAGUUCCAGUAUUCAUGUAGGCACCUGGCAUGGGGCAUUAUGACUGGCCUCAUUAUAAAAGGAGGACGGAGCCUCACACCACACCACACUCAUCUCGCCACACGCGGCGCCAUGAGAACACUCAAUGUCUUCCUGGUGGUGGCUGUGUUCCUCACGGCGCUGCUGGUGGUGCAAGCCAUGCCCACUUUCUCCCCUGAAGCAGAGCCUUACGCCGCCGCCCCUGGUCCUCAGUUUUCGUAUAUUCCUGGUGGGUAUACCAGGGGUUAUCGUCCGUACUACCAAUCCCACCACCCCCACCACCACAUCCGACACUACCACCCUUACCGCCACCUCACAUCCGUCUACGGCUUUGGGUUCUACAGGUGAACUGCAGCAUGGCAGAGAUGGCAGUCGGUGAGUCUUCAGGUGGAGUUAAGCUGUGGAAUAAUACACCACAACCACAACCACCAUCACCUCACCGCCACCGCCACCGUCACCACUACAGGCAGCGACUAGCAAGUAACGCCUCUUCUGAUAACCAAACACGACGCAUUUUUAAACUUUUCUUUAGCUUGGCUUCAUUGUUUUAAAAUAAAGUCUCUCUCUCUCUCUCUCUCUCUCUCUCUCUCUCUCUCUCUCUCUCUCUCUCUCUCUCUCUCUCUCUCUCUCUCUCUCUCUCUCUCUCUCUUUUCGUUGCCCUUGGCCAAUGCGCCUUUAUACAUAAAAAAAAAAAAAAACACUGAAAUCGCCACUCUAUGUAGAACAAACAAAAUUUCAGAAAAUAUCACAAAAUGUAAUAACAAUAAGAAUAACACUGUGAAAUACAUAGAUAUGGAUGGAUA